CUUCAGUCAGUUAAACUGAGCAGAUCCCUUGCUUGAUGGGACCCAGUAUGGAGUGGCUGCAGACAGCAGCGUUGUUGAUAGUGCAUGCUGCCUGUUGUCUGUAUGGGCUGCCCUAAGGGAUCUUGGAGACAUUU